rnacentral:rRNA from 1 species
CGCAAGCCUGACGGAGCAAGACCGCGUGGGGGAGGAAAGCCUUUGGGUUGUAAACCCCUUUUCUCAGGGAAGAAGAAAGUGACGGUACCUGAGGAAUCAGCCUCGGCUAACUCCGUGCCAGCAGCCGCGGUAAGACGGAGGAGGCAAGCGUUAUCCGGAAUUAUUGGGCGUAAAGCGUCCGCAGGCGGUUUUUUAAGUCUGUUGUUAAAGCCCACAGCUCAACUGUGGAUUAGCAAUGGAAACUGGGGAACUUGAGUGUGGUAGGGGUAGAGGGAAUUCCCGGUGUAGCGGUGAAAUGCGUGGAGAUCGGGAAGAACACCGGUGGCGAAAGCGCUCUGCUGGGCCGCAACUGACACUGAGGGACGAAAGCUAGGGGAGCG